rnacentral:rRNA from 1 species
GACGAACGCUGGCGGCGUGCUUAACACAUGCAAGUCGAACGGAAAGGCCAGGCGCUUGUGGGGUGCUCGAGUGGCGAACGGGUGAGUAAAACGCGAGUAAACUGCCCUUGUAUGUGGGAGAAAUUCAGGAAACUGGGGCUAAUACCGGAGAGGAGCUCCUGCUGCAUGGUGGGGAUUGGAAAGUGUCGGCGGUGGGGGAUGGUAUCGAGGCUUAUCCGCUGCCUGGUGUGGUAGUGGCUUACCAAGGUUUUGACGGGUAGCCGGCCUGGGAGGGUGACCGGCCACAUUGGGACUGAGGUACGGCCCAGACGGCUACGGGAGGCAGCGGGGGGAAACAUUGCACGAUGGGCGGAAGUCUGAUGCAACAACGCCGCGUGCGUGAUAACGUCUUUCGGGUUGUGAACAGCUUUCGCAGGUGACGAAGCGUGAGUGACGGUAAUUGGUAAAAAAGCACCGGCUAACUACGUG